rnacentral:rRNA from 1 species
GUCUUUUUGAGUUAUUUUUAAAGUCUGACCUGCCCACUGAAUAAAUUUUAAAUGGCCGCAGUAUUUUAACUGUGCAAAGGUAGCAUAAUCAUUAGUCUUUUAAUUGAAGGCUGGUAUGAAUGGUUGGACGAAGUAUAAGCUGUUUCAUAUAAAAUUUUAUUAGAAUUUUAUAUUUUAGUUAAAAAGCUAAAAUUUUAUUAAAAGACGAGAAGACCCUAUAAAUCUUUAUAUUUAAUAGUAUAAAAAUUUUUUUGAUUGAUUUUAUUUUUAUAAUAUUAAAUAUUUCGUUGGGGUGAUGUUAAAAUUUAAUAAACUUUUAAUAAAAAUUACAAAUCAUUAAUUUAUGAAUAAUUGAUCCAUUAUUAGUGAUUAUAAGAUUAAGUUACUUUAGGGAUAACAGCGUAAUUUUUUUUGAGAGUUCAUAUCGAUAAAAAAGUUUGCGACCUCGAUGUUGGAUUAAGAUAUAUGUUUAGGUGUAGCUGUUUAAAUAUUAAGUCUGUUCGACUAUUAAAUACUUACAU